UGCAAAAGUGCUCCCUGGAUGGUGUCAGGAUCUCUCCUGAUGUGGAGUCUGACAUGCAGAGUUAUAUGCUCACCCUUGCAAAUGAACACAGACCAAGGUGCCAGGUAAGAAGCCACCUGGGCUGUGAGUCUGUGCACAGGGGCUGUGCAGGAAUAUAGCUCCAAGUCGCAGUAUAGGCAAGGACAAGCAGAAGAGUAGUCGUGGAAAGCCAAAGCCAGAGGUCAGAGUAAACGAUGAGAUGAGCCAAGGUCAGGACCCGUCUGGAGAACAUUGGAUCAAGA